rnacentral:rRNA from 1 species
AUUGAACGCUGGCGGCAGGCCUAACACAUGCAAGUCGAGCGGAUGACGGGAGCUUGCUCCUUGAUUCAGCGGCGGACGGGUGAGUAAUGCCUAGGAAUCUGCCUGGUAGUGGGGGACAACGUUUCGAAAGGAACGCUAAUACCGCAUACGUCCUACGGGAGAAAGCAGGGGACCUUCGGGCCUUGCGCUAUCAGAUGAGCCUAGGUCGGAUUAGCUAGUUGGUGGGGUAAUGGCUCACCAAGGCGACGAUCCGUAACUGGUCUGAGAGGAUGAUCAGUCACACUGGAACUGAGACACGGUCCAGACUCCUACGGGAGGCAGCAGUGGGGAAUAUUGGACAAUGGGCGAAAGCCUGAUUCAGCCAUGCCGCGUGUGUGAAGAAGGUCUUCGGAUUGUAAAGCACUUUAAGUUGGGAGGAAGGGCAGUAAGUUAAUACCUUGCUGUUUUGACGUUACCGACAGAAUAAGCACCGGCUAACUCUGUGCCAGCAGCCGCUGUAAAAC